UGGGGAAUUUUGGACAAUGGGCGCAAGCCUGAUCCAGCCAUGCCGCGUGCGGGAAGAAGGCCUUCGGGUUGUAAACCGCUUUUGUCAGGGAAGAAAAGGGUGUUUCUAAUACAGACGCCUCAUGACGGUACCUGAAGAAUAAGCACCGGCUAACUACGUGCCAGCAGCCGCGGUAAUACGUAGGGUGCAAGCGUUAAUCGGAAUUACUGGGCGUAAAGCGUGCGCAGGCGGUUAUGCAAGACAGAGGUGAAAUCCCCGGGCUCAACCUGGGAACUGCCUUUGUGACUGCAUAGCUAGAGUACGGUAGAGGGGGAUGGAAUUCCGCGUGUAGCAGUGAAAUGCGUAGAGAUGCGGAGGAACACCGAUGGCGAAGGCAAUCCCCUGGACCUGUACUGACGCUCAUGCACGAAAGCGUGGGGAGCAAACA
rnacentral:rRNA from 1 species